GCGAACCGAGCCCUCCCUCCCCCGGCCCGCUGCUCAUCCCGCUGCAGUCCCAUCCCAACCGGCGCUCCGUGGGCACCGCGCCGGGCCGCAGCCCCGAGCAAAGCACCAAACGCGUCCGAACACAUCUCCAACUUUAUUGGCGGCGCUACAGAGCCCGGAGCCGACCCGGUGCGGCGGGACGGGACCCCGGCACGGGACCACAGCACAGCCCCGCGGCGCUGGGACGGCUCCUCCACACCCGGCCCGGUCUGGUCGCAGCACUACUUGGACCUCUGUCGCAUCUUCCUCCUCUUGCGCUUCAGCCUGCGCAUUCGCUUCUUGCGCCACUUAGCCCUCAUGGCGGCGCACUCGCGCCGCGCUUAGUCCCGGUGCGGCGGCGACGGCGCUGGCGGCGGAUGGAGGCGGAUGGCGGCGGCCACCAACAGCCGACAAGAUGGCGGCAGCAGCGGCCGAGAGAAAUAGUGCCGCCCGCCGUGGCUUAUUUAUAGGGCAGAGUCCGAGGCCACGCCCCCCUCCGCGCAAGGCAUGCCGGGAUCCGUAGUCGGCCUCCCCCGCAGCAUGCCGGGAGCUGUAGUCCUGAGCCCGGCCGCCAUUUUGCACAGCGCGGCCCUUCCCGUCCCGGUGCGCAGCGAACCGAACAGAACCGAACCCUCCCGCCCCAAUCAGCAGAGCCACGUCUCCGUGCAAAGAGAUGCCACGAGUCAGCUUUAUUUGGAAAACAGAGUCGGUUACAGAGAUCUUCUCGGGAGCAUUUGCUUUUCAAAAUCUUAAAACAAGUGGGUUUUCCGUUCCUUGUAUCAAGAGGUACAAUAACGUACGUAAAAAUAGAAAAUUAAAUACACCUCCAGCAAGUCUUAGUGGUUUAGAAAUCCGCGGGGUGAGGAGGAAGGAGGAGCUCCGCAUGGACACAAUAUUGCUUAAAAACACCCAAGGGUUCCCCAGGGGGGGCAGCGGAGGUGGGGGCGGUGGGACCGAAAGCUCUGCGUUGUGCCAUUCAUCCCAACGGGGGCUGCUGUCAGGUGCAGCACAGGGCACUGCCUGCAGAGCAACGCAUGCGGGACCUUCAGCACUCAGCCCCACGCGUGGCCGGUUGGGCACCACCAGCGAAGGAAAGCCCUCUGCAUCCCAACACGUGAAACCCAACGUCUGUCGGUGGGUUUGUUUCCCCCUUUAAAAAAGCUUGCUGUAGAAGAGUUGGCAGCCCCGGCUUGCUCUCAGCCUGCACCCACCGACUGCAUCAUCAUCAUCAUCAUCAUCAUCAUCAUCAUCAUGAAGAAGGGAGCCCAGCAGCACAGCACGGAGCAGCUGCCCGCCCCUCCGUGCAGCACUGGGCACUGCCUGCUUCCCCAUUUCAAAACAAGCUCACCACAGCAAUCUAUUUAAAAAUAGAGUGUUUAUAGGUAAACCAAGGCAGAGACAGGGCGCAGCGGAUGGGACAGUCUACAGUCUCACCAGGGACAUCAAAUUCAGGUUGGUUUCUUUUUUUUCCCCCCAAUUAGAAACGUACAAUCUGAAGGCUAAAAGAGUGAGAAACGCUCUGCCUCGAGGUAACGGGCAGAGAUCCUGCACGGCCGGCAGCUCUGCAGGCAGAUCCCAAACACAGGUCGCUUUUCUGAGGGCAUUAUCAGCUAUUUUGUUUUUUGUUUUCCUCCAAGAAAAUCUGCAAAAGGGAUAAAAUUAAAAACAACCAAAAAAAAAGAGGUGGAAGAAGAAAGCAGGCAGCUCUCCACGCUCCCUCUCUCAUCGGGGAUGGCUUAGUUGUUCACCUCUUUUAACAAGUAUGAGUAGUAUAAAAGGUUAGAAAGAUAUAGACUAGCUUUUACUCCUGAUUUUAUUUUCUUUUUUUUUUCUGCUCUCUUUUUGAAGUAGUCUGAAGUGGCAGAGAGAAUCCUCCCUCAUUGGCAAAAAUCAAGAGGAGCUGGUUGUAGUCAGUGGGACAUCCAGGCUGUUUGCUGUUUGAGACAAACAGUGCUAGAUUUUGUUUCUGGUUCUUUUUUGGGAGGGGGAGGGGGGGGGGAAGGGGUGUGUGUGUGUGUGUGUGUGUGUAUGUGUGAGAACUGGGUGCUAUGAAGGAGCAGGAGCUGCUCAGUCACCAGCCUCGUUCUCUUCCGCCGUCUCUCCUGUGGUGGCAUUCUCUGCAUUCUUGGAGGCCUUCUUUUUCUUCUUUUUCUGGGUCUUCCGGCUUGCAGAACUUUGUAGAAGGGCCUUCAGCUCUCCAUCUUGCACCUCAAACUCCGACUUGUAGAGCUCAGGUUCGAAGGGGCCACUGGUUAUCCUCAUAGGACCAUUAGGCAUUAAAAGCACUGUGAAUUUGAACUGUGCAACAAACUCUCCUGCAAAGCAGAAACAGGCAUUACUGCACCGUAGCAAUUCCAACUCCUGUGCCACACUGUCACUGCUGCAAACCAUCUUGUGGGAACUCCCUGGUAAGCAAACCAGAGGGCUUCAUCAGUCUCUCUUGUCUGGGGAAUUACUCUAUGAGAAAUCUCAACUCAUCACUGGAACAAAUCCAAAACAAGACCUAGAAGCCAACAGGUCGUUGAGUUUCCUGGAGGGUGGAUGCCAGGGCCCUCAAAGCAUUUCUCUGGCAUUGAAACAGCAGCAGUCAGCAUGAGGCUGGGGAAGUGCUCAACGCCAGGUUCACAUCCAGCUCCCAGCCCUCCCCUCAGCAGCACUCACCUUCCUUUUCGUAGAGGACGUUGAAGGGCUGGAGCAGCUCAUGUUUGGCGCAUUCCACCACCCCCAUCCUGGCCUUCUUCUCAUCUUCAAAUGCCCUGAGAGUAAAUGGCAUAGUAUCAAAGCGCCUCUCCACCUCGCUGAAAAAGGCACGGGAGGUUUUCAUCUUCAAACCGUACUGUUUGGAGGGGUCCCUUUUGUAAAUUGUAGUUCUCUGCCCAGCAUCCUUUGCCUGAAAAUGCAAAUGGAGGUGAGAGCAGGGAAGGAGCAGAGCAGCACUUCCUCGAGCACAUCAACCAACAGCCCGUGUGUGUCAGGGCAGUUCCAUCUGACAAGAGCUGUCCGUAUUGUGAUGCUGUAAAAGCACACCUUAAAUUUCUUGAUGGAAAAAUCUACACCCAAAAAGUCAGACAGGUUCCCAUCUGGGAUUGGCA
rnacentral:lncRNA from 1 species